UACAAAAUGUCUUCCUUCCCUUAUUCUCUGAUCUUCCGAUCAUCAAAAACCUAAGUAUUAUAUAGGUAUUGUCCGUGAAGCAGUAUUUUUCUUUUAAUAUUUUCGAAUGAAGGAAAAUUCAACUGGAAGAGGACCUAGGUCUGUCUAGAUUCUUUCUUGGUAUCUCUCAUUUGGCAACAUGUUUUAACAGGUAAACAUCGAUCUCUAAAACUGUUAAUGCCAAUUUUACGAAAGUGGAUUUACUAAUGGGAUUCUAAAUUUCCCUUUUUAGCACAUCUCAAAAUUAUAAUUCUUUAACAUCAAAAAAAAUUUGAUUCAUAAUUCGUCUGAAAUUUUCGUCGGAGUUAUGUUUUUGUAUCCAGAUGUACCAUCAAGACAUGUCAAAAUAAAAGAAGGUAUGUUUUUUACUAAGAAUUCAUUUUCUGGAUUAUACAAUGUUUCUCCUAAUUGUGUUUUCGUAUUUCUGGUUAAAUCUCUCUUUCUUUGACAAGAUAUUAGGGGCCGAUCACUGAAAUCGAAGGGUUGACAAUUUUGUUUGCUAUUACUGCUACAGAAAUCCUUCUAAGUAUCAAUGAUCAAUUUAGUAGCAUAUUUCUGUAAAUACUGUCGAUCCCAAGGAAUAAUAGUGUUGUGUAUGUGGAUCAAAAUCACGACAAUCAUGAUUACGCUACGUCCUCCUCCCUCAUUUUUCUUAUUUUGAGAUGCAUAUAUAUUAAGUACUUAAGCUACUGAUUAAGGGACCUGUUUAGAAUUGCAGGUUGCAAAUAUUUGUAGGCUUUAGUGAAUUGUAGAAAGUAGCCCAAAAUUGUCUUUUACAUAACUUAAGAUAUUUUGUUGCAAUGAGACGUGGCUUCAUUCUUUUCCUCCUAAUGUACUUGAUAACUUUCAUAUCCUGCAGUCAAAUUCGCAGAAUCUGAUGAAGUUUUGAUUGCAAAUUUGGUUGAUGUCUCUGAAAUAGUCAUAUUCCAUAGGAAAGCCAUACUUUGUGUAUCACUUAUUUGCUUUUGUUCCUAUGUGCACCAAGUGUAUCGCAUUUUUGGCACAAUGCAUUUCGUGGAGAUGGAUGCUUAGCUGAUAAAGGUGAUAGUCGAUGUUAUACAGAGAAAGACUCUGUAGCAACACUGGGGUAGUCAAGUUAUUUACUCUUCGCUGUUAUACUGCAUUGUUGGUAGAAUGUGCUUAAUUAUAUUGAGUCUGCUUACAUCUGGAAAUGAGGACCACAAAUGAGGACCUGUGUCAAUUAAUUGCACCAAUGUCUUGACCAGAUUACAUUUGAAUAUGAAAACCACCUCUAUCCAGCUAAACUACGUCAGGGAUCUUGACAGGUGUCUUCCAGAAAUGAACUCAGAGCAUACCAUCAAGGUCUCCCAAAAUGACAUGAAUAUGCUGCCGCCUUCGAGAUGACACAAAAUCACAGCAUAUGUGGGGAUUAAAAGCUCGACAAUGAAUAUAGCCUUUCAAAUGGAAAAAGAAGUUCUUAGUGUAGUUCCCGUUAUCCCUAAAAGCUCCAUCACCAUAGUAAUUUAUAAUAAUAUUAAUUGCUUGCACUAAAUUGCUUAUCUUUUAAGUAAUGUAAGGCAUUUGGGUGUGUGAUGGGAAUCAUAAGAGCAAUUUCAUCACACAAGCAGUUUCUGUUGGGUGGUGGAUUUCCAAAGAUCCAAUUCACAAUUUCCUUAUAUUAGGGAAGUCUGGAAUAUCUAUACAAAGCAUCCGGAUGGGCAUAAUGUCUAAUCCAAUGAUGUGAGCUAGGAUCAGGGAAUAGGAAAGCAUUCAAAUUUACCAUGAAAGUGUUCUUGAGGAUGUCAAUUACUGUGGGUUUCUUCUAUUGCUUGAUAGUUAUGUUAUUAAGAUUCACUAUUCUAUUGGCUUUCACUGUUUACAGAACUUUCAGUUUACAUAAAAAAAAAUAUUAACUGAUCCUAGCUACAUUUCUUUCCAGACUUGUAUCUUGCUAACAAAGAUAUGUGCGUUUCUUCAAAAUUAGGGGUGGCUUUUGGAUCUCAACGGUAAUCCGGUUAUGGCAUACCCAUAUCUCCUCUAGGAUUGUACAUGGCAUGGUCAUCUUCGCAUUAAGUGCGUGGAAAUAUUCUCAAAUUCUUCGUUUCUUAAAAUCAUCGGAAGGACUAGUGGUCAAGCAACAAAACUGUAAAGAAAGUAUCCUACAUUGUUAAAAUUAGCACAGCAAAGAGGUAGUUUUUCGUGAUACGUGAGUGGACAUUGAAUGUCUAUUAUGUUUCUCAUGACAUUUGACUCCAGUAGAGAGCAUUGAUUUGCUAAAUUGAUUUACUUUAAAUCCUAAUGAGGUGUACUAGCUAGAAUGGAAAUUAGUCCAGGAGGCUGUAUAAAGAAAAAUGGUAAUGGAUCAAGUUUAAGACAUGGCCUUUGCCUGCUCGAAUCUAUUCCAAUAGGACUAGAUCCGAGCGGGACU